CAGAAACAACAUUUGCAAUCCAAGGGAUGAUGCCUUCUUCUCGAUGUAAUCUAGUAAUUUGUCUCCUUGUCCUUGGCCACGACAAUCAGGAGAAACGGCAAUAGCAGCAACCUCUCCACAUUUUUCUUCAAAGUAAGGAAAGAGAGCAGCACAAGCUAUAACAUGGCCUUCUCUCUCCACAACAAUGAAUGAAUGCAGUGCCUCCACAAGCUCUUCCUCGCUCCUUCUGAUCAAUGUUCCAGACUCUUCUAGAGGUUGUAAUAAUUGUUUGAUCUCGGGAAUAUCUGACAGCCGAGCCAUUCGUGUUCCUUCAUAAAGAUCACUAGCUACCAUUGUCCCAACUCCAUCUCUUUGGAACAAUUCCUUUAGUAAAACUCCACCAAUAGUACCAUCCAGCAGGUGAACUCGUUGAACACCUCCUCUGCACACGAAAGCAGCUGCAGCUAACUCUGAAAGAUAACCAUUUAGUCGACUUAACCUCUCUUGUCCUCCAAUGGCAAAACCCUGCUCACUAGACCAAAGCCCAUUCCCAUUGUCAAAACCAACACCAUUCUGAAAAACACUGUAUUUUUGGCUAAACCCAUUCAUAUUGUAGGAAGAGAUUGAUCCAUUAGAACCAUUGUGACCUAAACAAUUGAAGUCCUCUUGACUGACAGCUUUUACAUAAUUAGCUGCUGCCUCACUUUGUUCUGCUCGUUUGCGAACCAGCAUGUCAGCAUCUUGAAGAGUCAAGAAACGAAUAAGACGGCCAGACUCAUCCAGAAUUGGACCAUCUAUAAUACAAAUCAGUUUCUCUGCUCCUAGAGCCAAGGCACAAG
rnacentral:misc_RNA from 1 species